GCAUGUGGUUUAAUUCGAAGCAACGCGAAGACCUUACCAGGUCUCGACAUCCCCUGACAACCGAGAGAUCGGGCGUUCCCCUUCGGGGGACAGGGUGACAGGUGGUGCAUGGUUGUCGUCAGCUCGUGUCGUGAGAUGUUGGGUUAAGUCCCGCAACGAGCGCAACCCUCGACCUUAGUUGCCAGCAUUCAGUUGGGCACUCUAAGGUGACUGCCGGCUAAAAGUCGGAGGAAAGGUGGGGAUGACGUCAAAUCAUCAUGCCCCUUAUGACCUGGGCUACACACGUGCUACAAUGGGCGGUACAAAGGGUCGCGAACCCGUAAGGGGGAGCAAAUCCACUUAAAGCCGUCCUCAGUUCGGAUUGAGGUCUGCAACUCGACCUCAUGAAGCUGGAAUCGCUAGUAAUCGCGGAUCAGCAUGCCGCGGUGAAUACGUUCCCGGGCCUU
rnacentral:rRNA from 1 species